UGAGCCUCACACUUGUUGAUAAGGAGUAUCUUUCCUACCAAAAAAGCUUGGAAAAUGUAAUUUAUCAAGAAGAUCAGCCGAAUUAUUUUGUGUAUUAUAACGCCAGUUACAAUUCUGAAAUUCCCCUACUUUCACUUUCAUUUUUAGAGGUUCCCGCAGACAGGCGCAUUUUGCCGGAAAACGAAUCUGACAUGCCACCUCGAGAUUUUAACCAAGGAAAGACAAGUUGAUGUGCUUUGAUUUGAGGGGUCACUCACUUCUGAACGAAAAUUAGGGACAUCGCUAUGAGAGGAAACGUUAACAUUGUCGCCUAUGGGAAAACAAUUAGUGGACUGUACCCAUAUUAGGAAGCCUAUAAGUCCAUGCAGAUGGUGUUUAAAACUAUUGGCCAGCAAAUGCACGCCCAUUUGAAUACAUCUUGAAACAGCACCAGUAAAGUGAGACAGUCGGCAAAAUGUAGGUUCCCGCAGACAGGCGCAUUUUGCCGGAAAACGAAUCUGACAUGCCAGCUCGAGAUUUUAACCAAGGAAAGACAAGUUGAUGUGCUUUGAUUUGAGGGGUCACUCACUUCUGAACGAAAAUUAGGGACAUCGCUAUGAGAGGAAACGUUAACAUUGUCGCCUAUGGGAAAACAAUUAGUGGACUGUACCCAAAUA